ACUCCCAAACCUUUUUACUUUUCCCUCAAAACUUUUACUCCUUCCCACUUUCCCCCCAAAACUUUUACUCCCCUCCCCUCCGAACCCCCCAAUCUACCCAAAAUCCAUUUCCCACCAAAAUUUUACUCUCCCAUUUAUUUUUUUUCAAAAUUUUACUCCCAAAAACCCUCAAAACCUUUUAUUUUCCCCCAAAAUUUUUACUCCCUCCCACUUUUCCCCUAAAACUUUUAUUCCCUUCCUAUCCCACCUCCCAUCUAUCCCAAACCCUCCCCCCUCCAAUUUUUUUU
rnacentral:lncRNA from 1 species